rnacentral:lncRNA from 1 species
UACCUUAAUCCAAAAUACAUGGUAUGUCAAAUAUGAUACUUUUUCCAAUGGGAAUGAAAGAAAAAUAAGGGUAUAUAAAUGAAGAUUAAGCCAACAGUGAUGUUAAACACAAGCUGCAUGCUACCCAAAGUUUUAUGUACUUAAUAAAUUAAGAGUAGGCCACAGUUUCGUUCUGAGUUUCCUAGUGGCCAGUGCAAAGUGGACAUAGGAUUAAAGUUUCUUAGUGGAUAUACAGCUUAAUAGAAAGAUAGAUGAAAACUAUCCUACCAUAUAGUGUAAUAGACUUGAGAGCUGAAUCUUUUUCUUUGUUUCUCUUGAGUGCUGGGGAUCCUGUUUGAUCACCCAGGGUCUUGCACAUGCUAGGCACCCAGAGAGUUGAUUUUGACUAAUAUCAGAUGUCAAAUAACUUAUCAGUGCUUUUUAAGUCUGUUGUUUCUUUCUUUGAAGGAAAGAGACUAUCUUGAGUUUCUUGGUCCCCUGUGAAUUAUUGUCCCUUCUCUCAAAAGCAUAAGCAAGCCUGAAAAGAUCCGCUAGUUUGUUCAAAUUAUUCUCAAUUCUUUUGGAACUUCCUAAUGCUCCUGUCAUGUGGUUCCAAGUUUAACCAUAGUCAUUUUGGACAUGAUUUUGUUUCCACAGUGAUGUAUGUCAGCAACCACAGAGUGAGCUUCUUGUAUUUUUAUAUCAAUUUAACACCCUUUGUUUAUUUGUUCCUCAGGUUUCACUUUCGCUUAUGUAAUGGGCUAUGGCAUUUUUCAGUCAUUACCUCAUGCUGGGAUCUCCUUUUUCUUUAUACCUCCUGAUGUGUC